CAAGCUCAAGGUCUUGCAACAUGCCCUAAGGCUGAUGAGAUUUUCAAUUAAUCUAGUCUAAGCCCAUAGCCUUAGCCAAGAAAGACACAUCUCCAUCUUUCCUGUCUUUUCCCUGAGGCUUUAUCUGCUGCUUUUUCAUGCAAGACAAGAAUUGUGUUGGCUGUUCUUGGAUGGAGAUUGUGUUACGGAUGCCAGAAACGUAAAAGGUUUAUCUCAAAGGCUUUAUCAAACAUAACUUGUUUUCACCCACCUCCAACCCUCACCUCAAACCAAGAGCAGCCCUGCAAGAGGAAGCACAGUGAGCUUCUGCCAUGGGGAUCGCCCUGAUCCCACCGCACUGGUGCCACAACUGAAGUUCGAUUAUGAACUGAAUUUCUAAUCAACAUAAAGCGAAACCCAUCCCUAAGCGGAGAGUCAGCACAAACGCCUGUGCAAAUCUCAGGUCCCUGUUAAGAUCUCUUUUGAAAGCAUGUGUGACUAAAGUGGUUCAGAGGCCUUACACUGUCCUUCUGACCUACGGAAAUUUCAAGCCAUACAGCCUAAAUGCUCUGUUCCUCCUAGGAAAUUCCAUCAGGAAGACUGCCCUGGGCCCCCACUACAUACCAACACAUAUCAGUGUAGCUUUUAUCAGACCAAACUGGAAUCCUCUGCACGAUAACAGAUUGUGCAACAGAUACCGUUCUUAAUAGCCGGGUCAUUCCUGCAGUGACUCUGAUGGGUUCACCAGAUUGAUAUCAGGAACAAAUUGGUUCCAUAAAACUUUCAAGAUGCAUGCAAUCCACGUGAGGUACAUAACUCAAUAAUCCUGAAGACUGAAGAAACCAAUUAUAAAUAUUGAAGGAGUGACGUCUGCAGCAAAAUAUUUUUUCUAAUUAAGACCUCAAGCAAAAAGGGUGUCUCAGAUUCUCCAGGCCAUCUAAGAACCAGUAUAAAAGAGCUCGCGACUCAGGGUUCUUUAACCGCUUCUCUUGACGUCUCCUCCUCAGUGAGCUGGGUUUACUUCCAACGCAUGGAGAUGUUGUUCCACCACCAAAAAAAGAUUUGCAAACCUUGGUGCUGUAAACCGCACCAAAAGAUUUGUAAACCUUGGUUCUGUAAACCGUGGGGUUAUGGGGACUCAAGCGGUUACGGAGGCGAUUAUGGACACUGGCCGCCAUGCUCCUGGAAAAAGCCAUUCAAGUGCUGCUACCCCUGCCCCUACCCCUACCCCUGCUGCUACCCCCACCCCUAUCCCUGCGGCCCCACAAACCUGUAUCCAUGUUUCGCUGAGGAGGAAUAGCCAUGGAACAAGGAACAACCAACAAACGAAAAGCAAGAUACCGAUUCACGGCUGAGCUCAUGGACAAUGGCUUUGGGAAAUGCUGAGUGCCCACAACUCCCAAGGGAGCUGUGAGUUCUCAGCACUGCAGGAAACCUGCACCAGAUUUCUGUUUGCCAGGGGACACUUUAGCACAGUUUCCUCUAAUACCGCCAUACUCUCUCCUUUACUCUAGCUAUCUGACGGCCCGAAUCUCAGCUCCAUCAUGGCCCCUUUCGGCCUCUCUGACAGUGUCAAUGCAGCAGGGGCCUGUGAGUUCAUACAAAUGAUAUUUACACUCACUCGAAGGCUCUUUACAAACCAACAUCCUGGGACGUAAGUGUCAAUGAGAAUUAGGGCCUAUGUUUUCUAGCCUUUCCAUAAAUAUGUACCAUUUGUUUCCAGUCUCAACACUGCUACAGAAGAUGUAUAACAGAGAAAGAACUUAGUCCUCUCCUGAUAUUGUGCUUUGUCUAAUUAGACUGGGGCUGGGAUAACACAAUUAACUGAAAAUGGCUGCAAACAGGAUUUGAUUGUCAAACUCUACAGCGGCACCAAAGAAAGAAGAACAUCUGAUGGGAAAUGCAUCAUCUGGGAGCAGUUCAUUUGUUGUAAUCCUGGAAAACCUAGCAAUGUAUUUUCUACUCUGCAUUCUGUCUGUUCCUAUGUAAUCCUAUCAUAUUAGCAUUAAAGGGAUUCUGAAACAUGA